GAUGAACGCUGGCGGCGUGCCUAAUACAUGCAAGUCGAGCGAACAGAUGAGGAGCUUGCUCCUCUGACGUUAGCGGCGGACGGGUGAGUAACACGUGGAUAACCUACCUAUAAGACUGGGAUAACUUCGGGAAACCGGAGCUAAUACCGGAUAAUAUAUUGAACCGCAUGGUUCAAUAGUGAAAGACGGUUUUGCCGUCACUUAUAGAUGGACGCGCGCCGCAUUAGCUAGUUGGUAAGGUAACGGCUUACCAAGGCAACGAUGGGUAGCCGGCCUGAGAGAGUGACCGGCCACAUUGGGACUGAGAGACGGCCCAGACGCCUACGGGAGGCAGCAGUAGGGAAUAUUACACAAUGGGCGGAAGCCUGAUGCAGCAACGCCGCGUGCGGGAUGACGGCCUUCGGGUUGUAAACCGCUUUCGCCGGUGACGAAGCGUGAGUGACGGUAAUGGGUAAAGAAGCACCGGCUAACUACGUG
rnacentral:rRNA from 1 species